CGGGCAGGCGGGAGGCGAGGCGGGGGCGCCAGCCGCGCCCAGGCGGACCCCGGGGAGCAGGCGCUGCGGAGGAAAGCCCGGGCGCUUGGCUACGACUGGCGCGCGUGGCCGCCUCCGCGUCGUCCUCUCUGCCCCGGGCGCCCCCCCGCCAGUCCCAGUCGCCGGCUGCGCCGAGGAGCGGCAUCAUCAGAUUUGGGGUGACCCCGAGCGACCUCGGUCCAAAGCUCGGAGGGAGAGGCGCCUCUCACAGCCUGGCCGGUUGACAGAGAAGGGGAACCGGGCGGGUGCAGCGGCCGGGCCGUCCUGGAGUAACAGACACCCGCCUUCUUCCUAGUGGGAACUGGGCGGCCGCGCUCGCUCCAGGGAGCUCGUUUUGACCCGUCUGUGCCUCGGCGGGAUGACUCCGGCUAUUACAUGAAAAAUGGAUUACGAGUGGAUCAAGAGAAGAAGUAAAGAGACCAGUGUGUGGACGACCAUAUUCGAUGGACACUCAAAAAAAUACAAGUAGGCUAGUGAGGCCCUGACAGAGGGGUUUGGAGGAGGAGCUGCUCCCUUGAGAAUAUGGUUUUAGAGACCACAGCACGUUAGCAUGGAUCUCACCUUUCUGCAACUAUUCUGAGACAAACUAAAGACCAUACUCCACCCACAGUCUCAGAACAGAGACGAUGUUUACCCUUCCCACGUCCUGAGCCACGGCUGAUGUCUAAGGGGUGGGCACCUG
rnacentral:lncRNA from 1 species